UACGAAGGGGGCUAGCGUUGCUCGGAAUCACUGGGCGUAAAGCGCACGUAGGCGGAUUGUUAAGUCAGGGGUGAAAUCCUGGAGCUCAACUCCAGAACUGCCUUUGAUACUGGCGAUCUUGAGUCCGGGAGAGGUGAGUGGAACUGCGAGUGUAGAGGUGAAAUCCGUAGAUAUUCGCAAGAACACCAGUGGCGAAGGCGGCUCACUGGCCCGGUACUGACGCUGAGGUGCGAAAGCGUGGGGAGCAAACAGG
rnacentral:rRNA from 1 species